UUUAAAGAAGAAAUGCAAUAAAAAGGAGGAUCAAACCACUAAGAUGGAUAUGGAGUUAAGAGAGGUAAGGGGUCAGCGGGUACUGCCUGAGGACAAAGAGGGCAUUACAAUAAUCCUACGGUAUGGUAGUACCCGACUGAAACCCAAAUUCAAAGCAACUGCUCUUUUCCAGGUAUUUACAGUAACUUGUGUAUGAGUGGUUAAUAUGAAUACAUUUAUGAUCAAUUAUUGGAAUGAUAAACAAAAUGUUUCCAUCUCUCUCUUCUAGGGAUUUACAAUAAUACAUUUUAUUCAAGAUAUUUAGAUAUUUUAUAUAUGUACAUGGUCACUUACUUAGAAAUAUUAAUCUCCUCUUUUCACUGACAUACUUCCUGAUCAGAGGAAACAAAACUGAAUUAUAUUGAUUUACAGUUUAACUGAAUAUUUGAAGUACCCUCAAUACAUGACAAGAAAAAAGCUGCUCCAGACCCCUAAUUCUAGUUUAAAAGGCAACCCACUUUCCAAAUGAAAGGAGCACCCGCCCACUGCAUGCUAUUUUGUAUUUUUCCUAGUUACAA